GUGGCUUGAGAAAAACCUGAUAUUUGGUAAACUUUUAGUAACAAAAUUCACUAAGACAAAUGUCAAAGGUUGAAAUAUAUACCAAAGUUCUAAUGGAGCAGUCCAUGUACAUUUUGUAAGGUAUAAAUAUCCUAGUUUACAAUUUGUUUGUCAAAGGGAAAUAAUCCAAAUAAUUCUAUUGACAAAAGAACUUUCAGUACCAAAUAAAUGAUAAUAAAAGGACUCUAGAUCGGCAAUUGCAAAUGUUGGUAAUUGAAUAUGAUAAAUGUAUACAUGUAUAAAUGCAACUCACCAGAAA
rnacentral:lncRNA from 1 species